AUUGAACGCUAGCGGGAUGCCUUACACAUGCAAGUCGAACGGAGUGGCGAACGGGUGAGUAAUGUAUCGGAACGUGCCCAGUAGCGGGGGAUAACUACGCGAAAGCGUAGCUAAUACCGCAUACUAUUGGAGCGGCCGAUAUCGGAUUAGCUAGUUGGUGGGGUAACGGCGCACCAAGGCGACGAUCCGUAGCUGGUUUGAGAGGACGACCAGCCAAACGGGGACUGAGGGACGGCCCAGAGUCCUACGGGAGGCAGCAGGGGGGAAUUGGGGACAAGGGGGGAAGCCCUGAUCCAGCCAUGCCGCGUGUGCGAUGAGGGCAUGCGGGUUGUAAAGCACUUUUGGCAGGAAAGCGGUACCUGCAGAAUAAGCACCGGCUAACUACGUGCCAGCCGCCGCGGUAAUUC
rnacentral:rRNA from 1 species